rfam:Candidatus Vogelbacteria bacterium GWA1_51_14 gwa1_scaffold_1264, whole genome shotgun sequence.
GGGGAUGUCAGUUUCGACAAGAGCCCGAUUCAGCUCGUGCCAAACGGAGUUGUUGCUAACUCCUUAAACUGGUAACAAUCAAGAAAUGCAAACGCAUCUUCUAAGCAAGGCGUGGCUUCGCCAUACUUUGCUCCCGCUUUCGCUUUAGCUUAAGUGGGCGUCAACUUGACCAAGGGUCCCGCUUGAUCUUGUUGGUGUCAUAACUUUGGGACUAUGGAUUGCGACCGUCUCGGCAAAAAUCCUAAACUAUAGCCAUAGGCUAUUAAAAUAGAGACUCGGCGACUUGAUAUUUUGUCCGGUUUUAAGUUAAGUCGCUCAAAUCUUUCAAACCAGACUACGUUUGGUAAACGCGCGUUGAGUUAUCUUUUGGACGUGGGUUCAAUCCCACCAUCUCCACCA